GUUCGUCUCUUUCUUCCCACGACGCCUCCCCAUCCUCCAUCAGCCGUCAUUGGGCGCCGUUGUUCUGGACCGGUCGAAUGUCGCUGCCAAGGAGCAGAGGAGGAUGGCGGUGGGGAGAAACAGCAGAGGGGCACCGUCGUUCUGCUCACUCAGUGCGUGGGUCAGAGACGGACGAGGAGGCCGAGCAGUCCGGCAUGCCGUCGCCUGCCAAGACGGAUGGGGCAGGCGAAGAAGAGUGGUGGAUCUGCAUCCUCGCUGCGGAAGGCUGCCGCUGUGCCGACUCCAACCUGUAGCCUGUUCCGGCUCAGGUUCGUCUUCGUUUUCCUUGGUAGGCACUGUCAGGAACAUGAACAAUAUGUUGCAAGAUUUGAAAAAUUGAUAAUCAAGUAUUUCCUUCAUUUGUGCUCCCUAUAACAAGCAUAAGGAUUAAGGAUUCUGUCUCAUACUAUCAGUAAUAAGGACACUUCCACCGCUCAAUGACGAUGCUUUCUUGGAAGCUCAUGAGUCUAUCGUAACCAUGUCUGCUAGGCAUGCAUGUGGAUAUUUACCCAAAAGUUUGCACUUGCAUCUCAUUCGGUUUGGAUUUCCUAUGGCUCAAGUUUGUUGCUGUGCUUAGGUUUCAGGAAUAUUGACAUUGUUAUCUUGACCCAAAAUCUAUUGCUGCAUCCUGCAAAUUUGUGGUCGAGUGUACAACUUACUUUCAGUCAGCAGCUAUGCUUUUGCUAAAAGAAAUAGAUGUUUUAGAAAAACUAACAAAGUUUAUGUAGGAACAACACUUGGUUUUAUCAACUCCUAGCCUGACAAUUAAUUGAUGUCAUCUAUUAACUACCAACCUGAAAGUUAGAUGUUUCCAUCUUUAUAUUCUAAUUUGUUGUUUUUUGAUUCACGAUAUAUGGAGGAAACAUAAAAUGGUGGAGUGCAUGAUGCUUCACCAGAGUCUGCAUUAUCGUCAAACGCCUUCCAUGAGGUUAUAUGAUGUGUACAUGGCAGUGUUACUGAACAGAAGGAGAACAUGAUGAUGCUCUCUUAAUUUAGUUUCUCCUCCGCUGACCAAAGCAUAUAGGAAACACCAGCAACCCUUCUGUUCUGAGGAAGCGCUCAACCUUGACGUUGAUGCGGAGCAUCCCAAGGUCAUCCCCAUGGACCUAACAUCGUCUCACCAAGUGCCUAGCGGACCGAUGACUAGAGCUAGAGCUAGAGCUCUCGAGACCGAGGUGACCUCUCUC